rnacentral:rRNA from 1 species
CGAAGAUAAGACGGAUUAGCGGCGGACGGGUGAGUAACACGUGAGUAACCUGCCUUUUACACAGGGAUAGCCUCGGGAAACCGGGAUUAAAACCUGAUGAAACUAUCAAAUCACAUGAUUAAGAAAGUUAAAACUCCGGUGGUAAAAGAUGGACUCGCGUCCCAUUAGCUAGUUGGUGAAGGUAACGGCCCACCAAGGCAACGAUGGGUAGCCGGCCUGAGAGGGUGAACGGCCACAUUGGAACUGAGAAACGGUCCAAACUCCUACGGGAGGCAGCAGCU